CAAUAGACUACCCGGGUAGUCCACGCCGUAAACGAUGGAUGCUAGCUGUUAUGCGUAGUCGACCCGUGUAGUAGCGAAGCUAGCGCGUUAAGCAUCCCGCCUGGGGAGUACGAACGCAAGUUUAAAACUCAAAGGAAUUGACGGGGACCCGCACAAGCGGUGGAGCGUGUUCUUUAAUUCGAGGCUAAGCGAAGAACCUUACCAGGGCUUGACAUCCUUGGAAUUUCUCCGAAAGGAGAGAGUACUUUAUUGGACCAAGUGACAGGUGCUGCAUGGCCGUCGUCAGCUCGUGUCGUGAGAUGUUUGGUUAAGUCCAUUAACGAGCGCAACCCUUAUGAAUAGUUGUAUUUUUCUAUUCAGACUGCCCCGGUAACGGGGAGGAAGGGGGGAUGAUGUCAGGUCAGUAUUGCCCUUACGCCCUGGGCUAGAAACGCGCUACAAUGGCCGGUACAAUGCGCUGCCAACCCGCGAGGGGGAGCAAAUCGCAUCAAAGCCGGUCCCAGUUCGGAUAAGAGGCUGAAACUCGCCUCUUGAAGCGAUCG
rnacentral:rRNA from 1 species